rnacentral:rRNA from 1 species
GACGAACGCUGGCGGCGUGCUUAACACAUGCAAGUCGAACGGAGAGGCCCUGCUUUUGUGGGGUGCUCGUGUGGCGAACGGGUGUGUAACACGUGAGUAACCCCCCCCUCUCUUUGUGAUACCUUCAGGAAACUGGGGCUAACACCGGAUAGGACCUCUUUCUUCAUGUUGGGGGUUGGAAAUUUUCGGCGGUUGGGGAUGGACUCGCGGCUUAUCUGCUUGUUGGGGGGGUAGUGGCUUACCAAGGCUUUGACAGGUAGCCGGCCUGGGAGGGUGACCGGCCACAUUGGGACUGAGAUACGGCCCAGACUCCAACGGGAGGAAGAAGUGGGGAAUAUUGCACAAUGGGGGGAAGCCUGAUGCAGCAAGGCGGGGUGCGGGAUAACGGCCUUCGGGUUGUAAACCGCUUUGGCAGGGGACGAAGCGUGAGUGACGGUAAUGGGUAAAGAAGCACCGGCUAACUACGUG